rnacentral:sRNA from 1 species
UCACCAAGGACUGGGUGCAGCUGGACCGGCCUUUCGAAGGUGAAGCCUCCCACCCGCCAAAGCCCCAGAGAGCUGAGAGCAGGGUCAGAAGCUGAGGCUGGUACUGAGAGUGGGAUGAGAGGGGUCAAGGGUGGGACAGCCCUCCCUCUGGCAGGCUCCUUCUCCCUGCCCCAAGUGUCCCAAGGAGUCCAGCCCUGACGUCUCCCCUGACUCUCCUGGGACCCCCCAGAUUUCAUUGACAGGGAGACGACCCCUCGGAUGCCAUGGCGGGACGUUGGGGUGGUCGUCCAUGGCCUACCAGCCCGGGACCUCGCCCGGCACUUCAUCCAGCGCUGGAAUUUCACCAAGACCACCAAGGCCAAGUACAAGACUCCCACAUACCCCUACCUGCUUCCCAAGUCUACCAGCACGGCCAAUCAGCUCCCCUUCACACUUCCAGGAGGGCAAUGCACCACCGUACAGGUGAGGCCCCCCACUUCAGCCAGCCCUCCCCUUUGUCUCCUUCAGCCUAACACCCCAACCCACUCUCCCUGGUGUGAGAGCUGCCCACACUCUCAUUUCCUGGGGUUAAGAAGCAC